rnacentral:rRNA from 1 species
UACGUAGGGUGCAAGCGUUGUCCGGAAUUAUUGGGCGUAAAGAGCUCGUAGGCGGUUUGUCGUGUCUGCUGUGAAAACCCGAGGCUCAACCUCGGGCCUGCAGUGGGUACGGGCAGACUAGAGUGCGGUAGGGGAGAUUGGAAUUCCUGGUGUAGCGGUGGAAUGCGCAGAUAUCAGGAGGAACACCGAUGGCGAAGGCAGAUCUCUGGGCCGUAACUGACGCUGAGGAGCGAAAGCAUGGGGAGCGAACAGG